UCGACGCCAUCUUUACCGGCGUAAAAUAAGCGCCAAGACGCACUAAUGUUAACCUCGCGUCACGUUGAAGCAGUGUUCGAUAAAGAUUUGAUUUAUAAACCAUGACAGCGAAAGUUGGAGCGUUCCAGAACUUACCAUGGGUUGAAAAGUAUCGUCCCAAAAAGUUGGACGAUCUUAUAUCUCACGAGGAAAUCAUCAGAACUAUAAAUAAAUUUAUCGAUGAAAACCAACUUCCACAUCUGUUACUUUAUGGUCCUCCUGGAACAGGAAAGACUAGUACGAUUCUUGCUUGCGCUCGUAAAUUAUACACACCGGCUCAGUUCAACUCGAUGGUCCUGGAAAUGAAUGCUUCGGAUGACAGAGGUAUCGGCAUUGUCAGAGGACAGAUUCUUAGUUUUGCGAGUACAGGUACUAUGUACAGAUCUGGUUUUAAAUUGAUCAUCCUCGAUGAAGCUGAUGCUAUGACAAACGACGCACAGAAUGCUCUCAGAAGAAUCAUCGAGAAGUACACGGAUAAUGUAAGGUUUUGUAUUCUGUGCAAUUACCUUAGUAAAAUUAUCCCAGCUCUUCAGUCUCGGUGCACUAAAUUUAGAUUUGGUCCGUUAACAGAAAGUCAAAUUUUGCCAAGAUUAGACGACAUUAUCAAAGAAGAAAAUUUAAAUGUCACAGAAGAUGGAAAGAAAGCGUUGAUAACGCUAAGCGGGGGAGAUAUGAGAAAAGUUUUAAAUGUUCUUCAAAGUACAUGGCUUGCCUUUAAUGCAGUUACAGAAGAUAAUGUUUAUUCCUGUGUUGGACACCCUCGUCCCAUUGACAUCAAGAACAUUGUGAAUUGGUUACUGAACGAGUCCUAUGAAUUAUGUUAUUGCAGUAUCCUUCUUUUACAAAUACCAGUUAAUGCUUUUGAAGUUAUAUAUUCCUUAAUAUAUCGUUACAUAGAAAUACAAGACAUAAAACUGAAGAAAGGACUCGCGUUGCAAGACAUAUUAACGGAACUCCAUUUGUUUGUAAAUAAAAUUGACUUUCCAGAGUCGAUACUCAUCGAUCUAGUGAUUAAACUGGCAGAAAUCGAAAAGAGGGUGGCCAUCGGUUGCAGCGAAUCGGUACAAUUGAACGCGCUCGUUUCAGCGUUUCAAAAUGCACGCGAUAUCGAAACCUAGCAGCAGCUCGAGCUGUGUUCGCGGAUGAAAUCGCGUUAAGCGAUGUUCAUCGGGUGUGCUCUGACAAUUGGUUCACGGUAUUCCGAAGAUUGCAUCGUGUACUCGAAAAGAGACGUAACUCGCAAAAAGAGCCAAAUGGGGAGCUUACCCAAACCUCGAAUAUUGUGCGGGGGAUACGGUCUUGUUAAUCGAUCGAAGCUCCGUCGAUCCCAAGCGUGAUUUACUCUCAGACUAAUGUAAAGAGGAAGACACGUACAUCCCUCGACCCUCGAUAGAAUCACUGAACAAUAUCAAGACAAGUUACUUCUUUCGUUUCGCGUCACGGUAAAGUCUCUUCACGUUAACUAUCGCAAUUGUACAGAAUAAUGGAUAAUAUGUAGCGUAACGGAUAAAGGAUUCACGUGUAUAUUUUUUCUGCAAAACUCUAGUCCUUUUGGAACGCCGUUGAGUUAUCCGAUGAUACAUCCGAUCCCAGCAAGUGGAAUGACCCAACUUUAGCCCGACACGCCAUUAGCUUCCUCUCCUUUUCUCUCACUCGUCGCCGCGCUAUCUCUGCCACUUUACGAACACUACAAACUCCUCACGGUUCGUAUGUAAUUCUCAUUUCCUUUAUGCUACCUAUUUUUGCCACCUAGCAUACUCGAGUGACGUCUGAAUAAGUAAAGACCCAUCGCACUCUUGAAAACGAGCAUUUAUUAAUGUCUUCUUGACUCGAGUUAUUCUCAGAAUCCGCGAAUAACAAUUUUAAUACCCAACACGGAGCUUUAAUUAUAAACAAAAUUUUGAUACCUUUCUUUUUCGGUAACUAUAAUUACAUUUGAUUUCAGAAAGAUUUUUCAUUGCGAAGCUUGGGAGGCGUUUAUACGUAUUUUUAAUUUGUCUAAUUUACCGUAUAUUUGCGGCAUCGUCGAGGAACAGAAAAAUUGGAUUCCUCGUAAUUUCUAUUCCAUACGGUCGCGUCCCCUCGUUACGAGUCGUUCGCAUGUAAAAGCGCCGAAAUAUUUUAACGGGAACCUUUAUACCGGGCAUAAGCCAACCGACCGAUCAAUUUAUCGACGAGCCUCGCUUGCUGGAAAAACAAGCGGGCUACAAAUGUAACGAGUCCA